GUAGGCCCUAUACUGGGGACAGGGUCACUCCUAGUAGAUCGAAGGCAGGGACUCACCUGAAGGGUGAGGAAGCUGGCCAGAUGAAAUUAUCCAUGUCAAGUGCUGGUCAAGAGAUGUGAAGUAACAGACAGAUUUAUUUCGUCUUAUGAACUUCAUUUUUGGUUUCUGAUCACUUGGCUUCUCUAAUCAACUAAUUGGCUCGUUGAGACAGGAAUUUUCAAACUUGAAGAAGAAGCUGAGAUCCAAGGGGGAAGACUAAGCACCUCUUUUGUUCUCCAUGGUGACCAAGAUCUUAACAUCCUCCUUUCCAUUGAUGUCUCAUUUCUUCCACCUAAGAAAUCAACUUAAUGCCAGCUCUGUUCCUCACAUGUCCUUUGAUAUCUAGAGAUUCACCAGUUUGUACUCAAAAAAUAAAGCUUUGUGGAGUGAAGGUACUG